rnacentral:rRNA from 1 species
UACCUGCAGCUCGAGUGGUAACCGCUUUUAUUGGGCCUAAAGCGUCCGUAGCCGGUUUGGUAAAUAUCUGGGUAAAUCGUGAGGCUUAACUUCACGAAUUUCGGAUAGACUGCCAGACUUGGGAUCGGGGGAGGUCAGAGGUACUCCAGGGGUAGCGGUGAAAUGUUGUAAUCCUUGGAGGACCACCGGUAGCGAAGGCGUCUGACUAGAACGAGUCCGACGGUGAGGGACGAAGCCCUGGGGCGCAAACCGGAUUAGAUACCCGGGUAGUCCAGGGUGUAAACAAUGUGGGCUUUGUAUUGGAGGUCCUACGUGGGCGUCCAGUGCAGAAGAGAAGUUGUUAAGCCCACCGCCUGGGAAGUACGGUCGCAAGGCUGAAACUUAAAGGAAUUGGCGGGGAGCACAGCAACGGGAGGAGCGUGCGGUUU